CAAAUUUGGAGAGUACCACUGCCACUAUGAUGCUGAGAAGCAGUUUGAGCAUGCCAUUACUAGCUAAGUGGAACUUCCCAGUAGCCUCAUGUCUUACUAUGUUUGUUAGACGGCUAAAUUCAUUUUUCUUUAUUCUUAAUUUAUGUUUUCCAUUAUGCAUUACACCUGUUGAAACUAACAUGUGAAGCAGGGCAUUUUAAUUUCUGACUGUGCUUUUGUGAUUCCAAUUUUGUGUAUAAAUGCCAUUUAGUUUUUUUUUUUUUUUUUUUUUUUUUGAGAAGAUUGUAAGUUCCUGUAGAUCAAUAUAUCCAAGGCCUUUCUCUCACAAAACUGCAUUACUUAUAUGGAAAAAAAAAAGAAAGAAAAUAGAAUGUCAAAAGAAAGGGAGCACUUUAUAAAAGAAAAAAAAAGGAAAAGGAAAGAUUUUCCCAAAUGAAAGGAAAGAAAAAGAGGAAGAGGAGAAGAGUACCACUACCGCUACCACUACUACCACAAUGCAUGGUAAGUGUGCAUCAAAUGCGGAGAGCACAACUACCACUAUUACUACCACUAAAAUGCAUAAGAAGCAAUUUGAGCAUAUCCACUAGGUAAGUGAAACUUCCUAGUAGACUCAUGUGUUACUAGCUCCAUUAUGCAGCUCAGUUUUCUUUGUUCUUAAUUUAUAUUACCCAUUAUGCAUUACACCUGCUGAAACUAUCAUGUGAAUUUAGGCAUUUUAAUUUCUGAUUCUUUGCUGUAUGUGAUUCAAUAUUAUUUGUAAAUGCCAACAGUCUUUUUGAGAAGUUUGUAAGUGCCAUUAGACUAUUAUUUCCAAAAGCUUCUCUCACAAGGAUACAUACUUAUCCGGCAAAAAAGAAAGAAAAAAGAAUGGAAAAUAAAAAAGAAAGGAAGCAAAAGGAGCAUGUGGUAAAAGGUGAAAAAAAAGGGUUUACUCAGAAAAGAAAAAGAAAAGAAACGAAAAAAGGAGCAGAAAGAAUUUUUAAGCUUCUUCUUCUUUUUUUUUCUUUUCUUUUUUUUUCUUUUUUUUUUGUAGAACUAGGAUAGGUGAUAUUCUUUUGAGAACCAGACUAGGUGGAAGCUCUGGUAUAUGAUAGUUGAUAAUCUGUGUUAGAUUUGCUUAUAACAGUUGAUGCUCUAUGAUAGGUAACUAGACUUGCCCCGGUGGCUAUAACUCUCUAUUAGCAACCAAAGGUUCUGGGUGCAACUCAUGGUUGGUACAUCCCAAAUGCUUUUGCCUAGAUAAUUAUAGUGUAGGUGGGUCUCAACGAAAAAGGAAAAAGAAAGAAGCUAUCUGUCAUAUAUUUUCCUUUUUCUUGUGAAUCUCUUUUUGAGACUAUGAGAGUGCCAUCUAAUUAUAGGAUGCUAGCGCCAAAGUUCUUCAGAACAUCACAAUUAGAAGAAGCAUAUGAGGAUAGUUUGCAGUAUGCAAAUAUCCAAAGUUAUAUUUCGUGACUACAGAAGGACUAGCAGAUUUAAAGUCAGACAAAGUAGGCACAUCAUACUUAACUGAGGAUAUUGCCAUUUGGGUCUAUAAUUAACUUUAAUGAUGACUGCAACCUGGAGAUUUUAUGCAAUUGUGGUUAAGUAGGCCAUAUUCAUCUGUCUCAAAAAUAUGUUAUCCCAAUCAUUGUUUAAAUUGGCGCUUGAAUAAAGUUAUUUAACUUAUUUUGCCAAAUCUCUUCACUAAUAACAAAUAAAGUUAAAAAAAAAAAAAGAAAGAAAGAAAUCAACCAUGAACCAUUCUGUACUCUAUUGGUUUGGUAGAAAGCAUACUUCCCCCUUCUUGAUAUAUUCAUUAUGUGCUUGAACAAAGUUAUUUAAGUUAUUUUGCAAAAUAUCUUCAAUAAUAACAAAUAUAGUAAAAAAAAAAACAAAAAUCAACCAAAAACCUUUCUGUACUCUCUUGGUUUAGUAGAAAGAAUCUCUUUCCCCCUUCUUGGUAUAUUCAUUAAAUUGGUAAUUAUCACUUUGAGCUCCAUUUUUUGCAGAUCUAAGUGGACUCCACGUGAAGAAUGAAAUUCAAAUAGACAAAAAGGGUGGAAAGGGGUGAAGUGAAGAGGAAGAAGUGAAGAAAUUGGAGAUACCAAGCAUGCAACCAGGAGUCAUCAAGUCUUCAUGAAGUCGGGGGAGAAGAAAUUCCUGCAAAGCAAACAGCAAUAAAAUGGCUGUUUUGGUUUCAGGGAGGCUCUGUUUGAAAGAAACAAAAUCUUCGCAAGGAAAAAAAAAUGUUUUUGGUGAGGGUGACAGCUUCGGAGCUGGGAAAGCAAAGGUUGUGGAAAAGUUCUUCCAUGGUGAUUGUUGCAGUGAUGGUUGGAUUCAGUUGGUGGAUGGUUAACUAGCAGAGUGACACCCUUCUCUACCUGAUGACUCCAUGCCCUUGGCAUCAUCUCAUUAAAUUAAUGGUUAUUUUCUUUAGUGUGAUGCCUUUGUCAUCUGGACGCAUGUAGCUGAUUGAUGAUGGAUCUGAAAGUUUGGGAUGGUUCAAGUGAUUAGAUGGUGGAUCUGAAAGAAUGAAUGCAUCACGAGAGAUUGGAUCUUGAUGUGGACCAAUAGUAUACCGUUCACAGUUGCAGAUUCCUUAAGCUAGAAAAUGUUUCAAAUGACACAUGGGUUUAGCCAGCAAGCAUCAUCGUCUUCAUGGAGUAAGAGGAAGGAGAAGAGCAUAGGUUUGGGUAGUAAUGAGAUGGUUGUUUGGCCUUGGGCCUAGGCUGUUUUGAAAGAAACAAUGAGAUUUGUCAAGGUACAGUGAAGUUAA